UUCCGGUUGAUCCUGCCAGAGGUUACUGCUAUCGAGGUUCGACUAAGCCAUGCGAGUCGAAUGUAGCAAUACAUGGCGUACUGCUCAGUAACACGUGGAUAACCUACCCUUGAGACGGGGAUAAACCCGGGAAACUGGGUAUAAUACCCGAUAGAUCUCGACUGCUGGAAUGCAUCGAGCUCUAAAGCUCCGGCGCUCAAGGAUGGGUCUGCGGCCUAUCAGGUAGUAGUGGGUGUAGCGUACCUACUAGCCUACGACGGGUACGGGUUGUGAGAGCAAGAGCCCGGAGAUGGAUUCUGAGGCACGAAUCCAGGCCCUACGGGGUGCGGCAGGCGCGAAAACUUUACAACGCUGGAAACAGCGAUAAGGGGACCUCGAGUGCCAGGUUACAAAUCUGGCUGUCGUGAUGCCUAAAAAGCAUUGCAUAGCAAGGGCCGGGCAAGACCGGUGCCAGCCGCCGCGGUAACACCGGCGGCUCGAGUGGUAACCGUUAUUAUUGGGUCUAAAGGGUCUGUAGCCGGCCGGAUAAGUCUCUUGGGAAAUCUGGCAGCUUAACUGUCAGGCUUUCAGGAGAUACUGUCUGGCUCGAGGCCGGGAGAGGUGAGAGGUACUUCAGGGGUAGGGGUGAAAUCUUGUAAUCCUUGAAGGACCACCAGUGGCGAAGGCGUCUCACCAGAACGGACCUGACGGCAAGGGACGAAAGCUAGGGGCACGAACCGGAUUAGAUACCCGGGUAGUCCUAGCCGUAAACGAUACUCGCUAGGUGUCGGCCACGGUGCGACCGUUGUCCGUGCCGUAGGGAAGCCGUGAAGCGAGCCACCUGGGAAGUACGGCCGCAAGGCUGAAACUGAAAGGAAUUGGCGGG
rnacentral:rRNA from 1 species